rnacentral:tRNA from 1 species
GGCAGAAUGAUGAAACGGGUAGACAUCGGGGUCUCUAAAACCUUGCUUUAUGCGUGUGGGUUCAAAUCCCACUUCUGCCACCA